rnacentral:rRNA from 1 species
AUUAAACGCUGGCGGCAUGCCUUACACAUGCAAGUCGAACGGCAGCGCGGGGCAACCUGGCGGCGAGUGGCGAACGGGUGAGUAACGCAUCGGAACGUGCCCUGGAAUGGGGGAUAACGUAGCGAAAGUUACGCUAAUACCGCAUAUACUGUGAGCAGGAAAGCAGGGGAUCGCAAGACCUUGCGUUCUGGGAGCGGCCGAUGUCGGGUUAGCUAGUUGGUGGGGUAAAGGCCUACCAAGGCGACGAUCCGUAGCGGGUCUGAGAGGAUGAUCCGCCACACUGGGACUGAGACACGGCCCAGACUCCUACGGGAGGCAGCAGUGGGGAAUUUUGGACAAUGGGCGCAAGCCUGAUCCAGCCAUGCCGCGUGAGUGAAGAAGGCCUUCGGGUUGUAAA